CCCCCUCUCCCCCCGCCCGCUCGCCGCCUUCCUCCCUGUGCCUUCCUUCCCCACGGCCGGCCGCCUCCUCGCCCGCCCGCCCGCAGCCGAGGAGCCGAGGCCGCCGCGGCCGUGGCGGCGGAGCCCUCAGCCAUGGCCUCGGGCGACACCCUCUACAUCGCCACGGACGGCUCGGAGAUGCCGGCCGAGAUCGUGGAACUGCACGAGAUCGAGGUGGAAACCAUCCCGGUGGAGACCAUCGAGACCACAGUGGUGGGCGAGGAGGAAGAGGAGGAAGACGACGACGAGGACGGCGGCGGCGGCGACCACGGCGGCGGGGGCGGCCACGGGCACGCCGGCCACCACCACCACCACCACCACCACCACCACCCGCCCAUGAUCGCCCUGCAGCCGCUCGUCACCGACGACCCGACCCAGGUGCACCACCACCAGGAGGUGAUCCUGGUGCAGACGCGCGAGGAGGUGGUGGGCGGCGACGACUCGGACGGGCUGCGCGCCGAGGACGGCUUCGAGGACCAGAUCCUCAUCCCGGUGCCCGCGCCGGCCGGCGGCGACGACGACUACAUCGAGCAGACGCUGGUCACCGUGGCGGCAGCCGGCAAGAGCGGCGGUGGCGGCUCGUCGUCGUCGGGCGGCGGCCGCGUCAAGAAGGGCGGCGGCAAGAAGAGCGGCAAGAAGAGUUACCUCAGCGGCGGGGCCGGCGCGGCGGGCGGCGGCGGCGCCGACCCGGGCAACAAGAAGUGGGAGCAGAAGCAGGUGCAGAUCAAGACCCUGGAGGGCGAGUUCUCGGUCACCAUGUGGUCCUCAGGUGAGCGCCAGCCGCGCGCCCCGGCCCCAGGAUGUUUUUGUUUUGAAGGGAAGCCAUGUUUUAUGUGUGUGAUGGGCGCCGCCAUCUUCUUCGCCAGGGCAAGUAUGGCGGCCCCAAAAGAUGGCGGGCCGUGCGGCGGCGGGGGCGCGGCGGGCGGCGGCGGCGGGCGGCGGGCCGCGAAGAUGGCGGCCGGCCCGCGCGGGGGAGGGGCGGCGCCGCCCGGCUAG